AAUUCAGCAUUCAAAUAAUUAACUAAAUAAUAAUAAAAACAUUAAUCCAUUCAUGAAUCUAAAUCUGUUAGUUUUGACUGGCAAUGUUACGGUUCGAUUUCCGUCCUCUCCUCCAGAGCGGUUAAAGAGACAUGCGAGGAUGGAGAGAAAGCGGCCAGGUGGAGCAGAAAGGGAAGGGACACGGAAAAAGAAAGCGCUUCAAGAAGAAGCAGCGAAAUGUUGCAAAAUUUCUGAUCUGUUCAGGGCUUCAAGUGCAGGUGGAGACAGUCAACCUAGCACUGGUGCAGUGGUCACACAUCAGAUUCAGCCAGGGAGUGAGACAGCUCUGCUGCAGAUCGUAUAGCUCAGUGAGCAACAGCGGCGCAGGUGAAAAAAGCAUCCCUGCCGCGGGGACGCGCAUGUGGAGAUAGACGCCUCACAACGGAAAGAAAAGGAAUAACAGGCGCCAUUAUCACUAGCGUUCGCAUUCUACGUCGCAUUUGUUCUCAUUGAAGUCCAGAUAUAAUAAAUGGAGCACUGUACUACUUGAAAGGUCACGGAAAGGUCAUAAACACAAAAGUGGUCAGAGGCACAGAGGAGGCUGACGCCAUUUCUAGUGAUUUUCAUGACAGCUCCACAGGUGCUCACACUGGACAAAAAAAGACCAGAGAUGCGAUUUCUAAAAGGUUUUUCAGGCCUGGGAUGUCUGCUGACAUAGAUAAAUGGGGCCCACAAGAAAACACGCUCAGUAGUUGAGCGGGGUAUUGGCCAGCUGAAGAGGAGGUUUCAUGUGUUGCAUGGAGAAGUGCGCCUGUCAUCAGCUAAGGUCUGCAAAGUCAUUACGGC